GAGAAUUACAGUUCUAACAAUGAAAGCUAUGUCUAUUACUGUAGGUUAUAACACAGUGAAAGGCAAUGGCAGUUUACGAAUUAAAUUUGUGAUAUUUAAUGAGUCAAUUUUUACUUAAAGGGUAUAGGUCAUAAAUGAAAGUGGUUCAUGGUUAUGAUAAAUACACAAAGCUAAAA